rnacentral:rRNA from 1 species
GACGAACGCUGGCGGCAAGCUUAACACAUGCAAGUCGAACGCCGUAGCAAUACGGAGCGGCAGACGGGUGAGUAACGCGUGGGAACGUGCCUUUCGGUUCGGAACAACUGAGGGAAACUUCAGCUAAAACCGGAUACGCCCUUCGGGGGAAAGUUUACGCCGAAAGAUCGGCCCGCGUUAGAUUAGCUAGUUGGUGGGGUAAUGGCCUACCAAGGCGACGAUCUAUAGCUGUUCUGAGAGGAAGAUCAGCCACACUGGGACUGAGACACGGCCCAGACUCCUACGGGAGGCAGCAGUGGGGAAUAUUGGACAAUGGGCGCAAGCCUGAUCCAGCUAUGCCGCGUGGAUGAAGAAGGCCUUAGGGUUGUAAAGUCCUUUCGUUGGUGAAGAUAAUGACGGUAACCAAGGAAGAAGCCCCGGCUAAUUUCGUGCCAGCAGCCGCAGUAA